ensembl:miRNA
UCUUCCCCCAAGUCCCUGUUCGGGCACCACCUGCCGCGGACCACUCAGUGGACAAGCAGCAGGA